rnacentral:rRNA from 1 species
CCUACGGGAGGCUGCAGUGGGGAAUAUUGCGCAAUGGGCGAAAGCCUGACGCAGCGACGCCGCGUGAGGGAUGAAGGUCUUCGGAUCGUAAACCUCUGUCAGCAGGGAAGAACGGUCACUGUGCUAAUCAGCAGUGAAUUGACGUUACCUGCAAAGGAAGCACCGGCUAACUCCGUGCCAGCAGCCGCGGUAAUACGGAGGGUGCGAGCGUUAAUCGGAAUUACUGGGCGUAAAGCGCUCGUAGGCGGUAUGUCAAGUCAAGGGUGAAAGCCCCGGGCUCAACGUGGGAAUUGCCUUUUAAACUGGCUAACUGGAGUGUGUGAGAGGAUAGUGGAAUUCCAUGUGUAGGAGUGAAAUGCGUAGAUAUCUGGAGGAACAUCAGGGGCGAAGGCGACUAUCUGGGACAUAACUGACGCUGAGGAGCGAAAGCGUGGGUAGCAAACAGGAUUAGAUACCCUAGUAGUC